rnacentral:lncRNA from 1 species
UCUCUCAUUCAUGAUCAUUUCAAGUUUACUUAAUAGGGUGACUGUUCAUUGUGUUGGGACAAAAUAUCCGGCCCAAUAUACAUUUCAUUAGUGGAGUGGGCUGGAUCCAGGCCCAAUCAAUUGUGCUUAUCAUAUAUUGCUUUUAUAAUAAAAGGCAAAACGAAAUUGCAGUCGAAGCUAGGGCUUGUUGUAUAGAACGCAAAGUUUCAAUCUUCCUUUGCGCUUUAUUAUUUUAGAGAGUCGAAGCUGCUUUUUUGGGGGAUUCAAACCGAGACCAUGGACAGAUCGAGAGGGUAAGCCUUGAAAUUUCAAUUCUUGUUUCAUAUUCCAAUUAUAUGUUUGUUUCUUGUUGAUGAAAACUUAAUUAUCCAAUUCCACUCGUCUUUAAUUAAAAAGAUAAAAUCGAAUUAAGGAAACGAUUGGGAUUUUGGUAUGUAUGAUUGUUUGAUUAUGUGGGUAAUAAACUUUCCUGUAAAAUUGGAGUUUUUGGGAAUACUGGUGUUUUGGUUCUAAGCUGAAGAAGUGAAAAUUUAGUUUUUUUUUUUUUUAAAUUUUUAAUGUGUUCUCAUUAGAAAUUCAGAUGGUUAUAUAUAGAUUAGAGCUUUAGGUGUUGUAUUGUAUGAGCUUCGUUUACUUGUCUGAUUUUAAACCAAAUAUAUUUUGCUAUGCAUAUCGAGCUGUUGUAUUGGUAUUGUUUGUUUGUUUGUUGGAUUUGGGAAUGUGGUAGAUAUGAUGGUGUGUUGUGAUAAAAUUGAUUUGCAUAGGGUUGUAGACAUUAGGUGUCAGGGAAAGUGUGGGUUAGGUUGGGUUUAGUUUUAUUAAUAGGUUGAGUUUGGGCGAUUUUUUUUCUCCUUUUUGGGAAUUUAAGGGCAAUGUUGGGAGGUGGGGGGUUAUCGGACGUGUACGAGGUCGGCUCAAAGAGACCAAGAAGGAUGGAAUCAAACCCCUAUUUUGCAGUUGGCAGCAGCGUUUCAAGGGGAUUUCAACCUUAUGUUUGUUUUAGCAGCGUUUAGCGCGUUCUUAUGUUUGUUGUUGAGAUUCGACUAGCACCAGUUAUUCAAGCAUAAACGCUCCAAUUUAGCACUCAUCACUACCUCAUUGUUGUCAGCGAUGCUGAUGCUAGCAAGCAUGGGUGAUGUGUGUGGUAGAUUUGUUUGUUUGUUGUUGAAUGUCAUCUUAUCAACUAUAGAAUCACUGAUGAACUUCAAGCCUUGGUAUUUUUUAGAAAUAGCAAAUUAAUGGAGCAAUGUGUUUCCGACAUAGUCUUUGCCAUUUCAAAUGACAAUACUGGCCAUGGAUCUUCCCAAUCAACGAAAAUCUUUGCCAUUCAACUUUUACAUAAAUCUUCAUUUUUUUUACCAGUUAAAUAACUACAAUGCUACAACGAGUCUUUUGUGAGUCAAACUCAUGACCUCCCACUUAUGAAGAUGAGACUAUGCUGCUACACCAAAUGAUACUGGGCAGAAAUCUUCAUUUGUUAUGAUAUUUCGUUAGCGUUUUAAGAGGUAAAAUGAUGAAAUUCUAAAAUUAUUAUUAAAAUUUAAGAAUAUUGGUUUUUAUAAAUGGAUCGGAUUAACGGAUCGAGUAUCCAAUAACCCUCCGGAUUCGGAUUUAGAUUGAGUUACUAACGAUCCAGCGGGUAUUGGCUCGGGUCCGAUCCAAAAUUUCUAUUACUAAACGGAUCCAAAUCUAGGUCGAUCCAUUCUAGAUACGAUCGAUGUAUAAGUCUAGACUUCAACUAACCAAAUCCAACAUUCAAAAGUCAAAUACCACCAAAAUACCAAGUUUUUGUCUUACGACGGUUGACAGAGCAGUUUGAAGAGUGAUCAUGCAAAAUCAGAACCUGUUUUUCAGUGCCAAACUUGGCUUUCAGAAGUUACAAAAACUUAAGAGUUUACUAGAAGUUACGAUUUGAGAUUCUACUAGGGUAGAAAAAACAUGAAUAUGAAUGGCCUCUCCCAACAAAUUGUAAAACUUUGUCAUCAUUCAUCAAUGUGAUUUGCCCACAUGCAAGAGUAUCAUUUUGUUUCAAUAUUAUAAGAAAAGAGUAGCUUAAGGAGCUAGGAAUUGACCGCCUAAUACAUGAUUAAAAUCAUUAGAUAAAUACAACAGAAAAUUGCUCAAAUGGUAUCUUAACUUUGCGACCUAUCAAAACCGUAUAUGAGGUUUCAACUUUGACCCACUUUUGGUAUCCAGGACCACUGACGGAGUGACGGUGUUACCCCUGUUAACUUUUUGCGGGUAAAUUUAUUAAUAUCGUGCAUUUAUUAUUCAGGAUAGCUUUAACCUCUGUUAUUACUUAGAACGAAUUUAUAUGAAAAAAGUUGUUAAGGGCAUAUUCCCACCCUAGGACCUUCAAUUUUGAUGGUGGUGGGGAUGAGGAUUGUCACUCCCGACCCUUAUAUUUUACCUUAUUUACUAGCUUGGUUAUAAUAAGAAUUUUACCGUCUUCAUCAUUGAGUUAAUAGUUUAAUUGGUCCCUAGAGGGGUUUCGGGGACGAUUAUGUGCGGAGGAUUAUUCGUAGGAGGAAAAUUCGACGACAGUAAAAAUGGUAAAUUUUAGCUAGUAAAAGGUGAUUUUUAUUCGGGUAUUAUUUUUCGAGGUGUUUUAUUUUGGAUUUGGGUUGUAUAAGAGUGUGGACCGGGCCAAGGGGUGGUCAAAGCCCAGCCCUCUCUUUUUUCUUCUCUCUCUUCUCUCCCGUUUUCUCUCCCCCGAGCCUUCUUCCCUGCCGGAUUUUCUUCUGCCCAGCUGCCGCCGUCCGGCCAGCCACCAGCCACCACUCCACCCCAGUUCGGACCCCCAUCACCUCUUCUCCCUUUCCGGCCUAGCCCCCGAGCCGUUAGCCCGUCGGAAGAGGAGAAAACUCGCCGGAGACGCCGGGAAGCUUUCUACCGGAACUCCCUCCUUCGGCCACCAAUCCGGGCAAACUUGGUACGGUUUUGUAGGUCUCCAACCCAGCUACCUUGCCCUAAAAGGACUCACUCCGGUUCGCUUCAAGUAAGGAGAUAUUUGUGGUGGAAGUUCUAGGGUGAUUUUGAUGUUUUUAGUCGAUUACCCUAGCUAGGCUUGGAUUUUGGGUUUGUGCUAGUUAGGAAAGUUGUAGAGGGAGUGGACAGGAAGUUAAUGUUAAAAUUUGGUAGAAAUUGGAGGUCGCCGGAAUCGGUCUCCGGCCGCCCAUGCCGGCGAAGCCGCCGGUUAGGAGAUUUUUAUGUUUUUAAAUGUGGAAUAUUAAGGGGAGUUUAUUGAAGUGAAUUAUGGAAUUUUUAGAUGAGUUUUGGAUAGGUUUAUGAAUUUUCGAAGUGUGGUAUUAUUGGCGGUGAAAUAGUGUAGAAUCCGGCCGUUAGAUUAAAGUUGUGUAAAAUGUGGAAAUGUGUAGUUACAGCCGAUGGUUCUAGGGUUGAGGUGUGGACCAUAUCAAAGUUAGGCGAGAAUGAGCGUGGUUACGGCUCAUAAUUAUUUUGCCUAUUUUUGAGUACGUAUUGGAUUUUCGGUUGAGAAAUUAAUAUUAUAUUUGGAACAUGACGUGAGGAGGCUCGAGCAGACGAGGCCCCAGAUCGACAUCAGGCUUAGGCCUAAUUUGUGAGUGGACGUUUAUUUUAAAUAAUUGCAUGCUAUAGUUCAUGAUUGAACAAUAAAUGUUGCGGAAUAUUUUGACGUCAUUUUAAUUUGACGAUUUUUAUUUCUUUUGGAGGGUUACCGAAAAUGGGAUUUUCGGUGAAUAUAAAUAUGUAUUUAUGAGAGAGUAUGUAUAUAAAAUGCUAGCUAACCAUAUGUGUUUGUCCACCUUAAUGACGUAGCAUAUAGCCGCAUUAUGGUGUGACGUGAGCGUAGUAGCCCUAUAUGAGUGUUUAAUUCACAUAGGGGUAUGGACACAUAUUUAUACACCCGUCUGUCCACCUUAAUGGCGUAGUGUAGCACCGCAUUAAGGCGUGACGUGAGCAUUGGACGCGAGCGUAGUAGCUCUAUAUAGACCCAUGAAUUUAUAUAGGGAGUAUGGACGUGUGUAAAUACAUACAUAUAUUUUAGAGCCUGAGAGGCUCGAUAUUAUGAGAUGAAAGUUUUAUCGCUUGCAGCAUGCAUUCGAUUUUUCCUUGGAAAUUGAGUUGGGGAAACAUAAAUAUUUAAUUUUUAAUUUAUUUUUGUCCACUCACUCUGACGUUAUUAAAUGUUUUCCCCUGGGCCAUUCGUUUUAAAAUGCCCAAUCUGCAGAGUUCGGGUUGGAUCUAGUAGGAGGCGAGGCAUAGUUACCCGCAUUUCUGCCAGUUUUCAUCAGUAACCUGUUUAACCUACUAGUGUUUUUUUGCUUCCGCUAGUGUCUAGUAGCUCUGAAUACUUUGGGAUUAUUGUAUAUUAAUUCGGUGGUGUGCUCGGUCUGUUGAUUUGAUGUUUAAAAUUUAUGAAGGAUAAUGUUGGCUUUUAUUAGCUGGAUAAUUGUGUGAUAUUUUGGACGCGUCGUAGUAAGAGUGUGAAUUGGAAAUUUUCGGGUUAGGGUUGUCCAUUUCUAAAGGAGGUUUUACUAAUCUUUUCGGUAAAUUUUCCUUAGAGGUGGUCCUCGUACGACUUACUCCGGGUUUCAGGGUGAAAUUCGGGGUGGGUUGUGUCAAGGAUGGUUGCAGGCUGUGAUGACUGGCAGUUGGGUGGCCAGAGUACCCUUUGGUCCUCAACGUGUUGGGUCAUGGCCCCAACCCUAGCCCAUUUGAAUUGCUUUAUCCAAGAUUUGAGUUUUAUGUCUAGGAUCCUGGUAUCACCAUUUUGAAUCAAGGAGGCUCUCAUAAGUGUCGGUGGGAGUACAAUUGCCAACGACAUUCAAUGACAAGGGAGUUGAAAAGGGACCUAGUUCUUUGGGCUUUGGUUCAGAGGAGGUGGGAUACUCAUCUAUGGGUUACCAUGUAGCAGCUACUGAUGUGGCAGACUCUUUGCGGUUUUCUAGUAUUUUUGUACGUCAAUUGGGGUCUCUAGACGAACUUAUUUACUUAACUGUAUUGAGUCAUAUAUCAUCUAUUCGGUUACAAUAUUUUCUAGAUAGAGUAGCGCACCGUCCUGCUAGUUAUAGCUUCAUUUAAAUGUUGAUUUUGAGUGGUAUGUAUCAGCUCCAAAACUAACACUGGAUGCACAUUAUGCACGACCUUAGUCGUUCUUAUUAAUAAAACUUCCUUUUAUUCAAAAAAAA